rnacentral:rRNA from 1 species
AGCUUGCUCUGCUGGAUCAGUGGCGAACGGGUGAGUAACACGUGAGCAAUCUGCCCCUGACUCUGGGAUAAGCGCUGGAAACGGCGUCUAAUACCGGAUACGAGCUGCGAAGGCAUCUUCAGCAGCUGGAAAGAACUUCGGUCAGGGAUGAGCUCGCGGCCUAUCAGCUUGUUGGUGAGGUAACGGCUCACCAAGGCGUCGACGGGUAGCCGGCCUGAGAGGGUGACCGGCCACACUGGGACUGAGACACGGCCCAGACUCCUACGGGAGGCAGCAGUGGGGAAUAUUGCACAAUGGGCGCAAGCCUGAUGCAGCAACGCCGCGUGAGGGACGACGGCCUUCGGGUUGUAAACCUCUUUUAGCAGGGAAGAAGCGAAAGUGACGGUACCUGCAGAAAAAGCGCCGGCUAACUACGUGCCAGCAGCCGCGGUAAUACGUAGGGCGCAAGCGUUAUCCGGAAUUAUUGGGCGUAAAGAGCUCGUAGGCGGUCUGUCGCGUCUGCUGUGAAAACCCGAGGCUCAACCUCGGGCCUGCAGUGGGUACGGGCAGACUAGAGUGCGGUAGGGGAGAUUGGAAUUCCUGGUGUAGCGGUGGAAUGCGCAGAUAUCAGGAGGAACACCGAUGGCGAAGGCAGAUCUCUGGGCCGUAACUGACGCUGAGGAGCGAAAGGGUGGGGAGCAAACAGGCUUAGAUACCCUGGUAGUCCACCCCGUAAACGUUGGGAACUAGUUGUGGGGACCAUUCCACGGUUUCCGUGACGCAGCUAACGCAUUAAGUUCCCCGCCUGGGGA